rnacentral:piRNA from 1 species
GCACUUCCUAGACCACACCUGGAGAUGA